ensembl:lncRNA
UAUAUAUAUAUAUAUAUAUAUAUAUAUAUAUAUAUAUAUAUAUAUAUAGCGCCACUUGAUUACUUAAGUGACAAAAAACGAUCGAGUAUGACGCUUAGUUAUGAAUCGUUCUAGCAAACUUCAUCGCUUUAUAUCGAGACUUUGCACAUGACUGGGUUCGUCUGUCCGAACGCUCCGACCAAACGACGCGGCGGCGUCACGUUUUCGGCACGGCUCGAACCUCGCGUUAAAAUAUCGAACGUGAUGCGCAGUAUGGCUUGCAUAUUUGUCGAUGGAAUCCAAAAAAAAAAAUAAAAAUAGACUUUGCAUUCCAGUCACUGAGGUAUUUAACUAUCUACAUCGGCGCUAGACGCUAGCUGACUAAACUACACGCUGACUAAAAUUGAUCGUGUGUGUGUGCUACGUUAAAGCUAGCCUAGCUAACCUCUCUGACGCAUCCACGACCGCGUAGGAAAGACAGUGCUACCUUAAAUCCACUCUAAAUUUUUUAAUUCCUGUAUUACUACGUUUUUUUGUUUUUUGUUUUCCCCACCCGCUCCUAACUUACAGCCACGAGCACUGAGGCAACCGAGUUAGCUAGUCGCUAGUCAGGUCGUCCUGUGCUAGCUAGCGAAGAUUAAGAGCAAUAAGUUUAAAAACGGUUGAAGGUGAUUUGUCCUCUUUAGGCUCUGAUUUUAUCUUAAAUAUAAAUCCAAAGACUUUUUUUUUUUAUUAAUAGAAAAAAAAAAACAAGGUUUAACAGGGGGUGGGGGAACUAGCUUCUUCUUUUUUACACCAAAGAUGUCAUAUUUUUCGCUAGUAGAAGAAAACGAUAAGAUUAGACUAAUUUCCAAAGACAAGAACGAAAAAAAAAAACCAAAACAAAAUGGGUUUUCUCCAAAGCUCACUAUUCUCAAAGCUACACAGUGCUAAUUAGCCUAACCGUCACCUGCUCAACUAUUAGCUAAUACGCGUUAACGGUAAUAUACUUCACUACAACUACUCCGCAAGCAUCGAGUCCGCUCAUGCAUGGCCACAUAUAACAUUGGCACGACAGAUCCCGCUACCUAACAAGCGGAUGAAACUAUACAUCAUUUAAUGGAAGACAUUGGUGAUUUUGUUGUUUGUCGCACGAACAACUCGUCACUUGUUUGUACAAUAUACAUGUUUAUCUCGAAACAGGACGCACACUGAAAUAAUAAUAAUAAUAAUAAUAAUAAUAAAAAAAAAGGGACGGACAACCGUAUUGCACACAGCCCACGUCUGUAGACGCCAUUUACCUUCAAACCGCGUGGAUCCGGUUUCAUGACAUAGAAAGAGAGAAUGAAAGUGUGUUCGAUGUGAUGCUCGCACUACCACUGAACAAUCAUUAGCUAUGUUACCAUCGACAAAUUUUAGUAUAUCGCAUAAAGACAUUUUUAAAAAUACCCAAAAUGCACAUAAAACAAACAUUUUGCCUCAAUAGAAGCAGAAUGAAUUCCUCGAUGCACAUAAAAUAAAUAAAUAUAUAUAUAUAUAUAUAUAUAUAUAUAUAUAUAUAUAUAUAUUUUUUUUUUAAGUCAUGUGACUUUGCCUCAACAAUUCACGUGAUUGGAUAAUCGGCUCAGGAGAGCGGCGGGGAACGAGACGCACCCGGAAGUGACGAUUUUGUUCUCCUGAACACGUGCUUUAUUCGCACGUUUUACGCGAUGUUCCGAUUUUUUCGCGCAAGUUCGAUUCGCAACUUGGAUGGAAACAUAGCUCCUGUGUUACAGUUCAUACAACCUAGGUUUUCAUCACUACAGUUCAAACACACACACACACACACACACACACACACUUCCAAAACUUCUUGGGAGGAAAAAAAGGAAGUGGAAUAAAUGUAAAUAAAUCUGUGAUUUCCAUCAUAUGAUCAUAAAUGGCUAUGUUUACAUGCAGCCCAAUAAUCUGUCAAUAAUUAGACCGAGAGCGCCGUUACAACCGAGUAAACCAACCGAGGCCAAUCGGAAUGACAUUUCUAUCCAAAUUCAGGGUAAAACUGAUAAAACCUACAUUUCUUGUGCAGUUAUCCAUAAAAACUGAAGGCAUUGUACCGCAUUUUAUUGUUGAUAUUCCUCUUAUUGUUAUUAUUUUUCAACAACCAGAGCUCCUGAAUCUCGGGGCAAAUACGAGACGCCGAGCGACGUCUAGCAGUCGCACUCAGACCGUGUUUUUCACCGCACUGUCACGGUUUAUAAACGGAAUGAUCCGGACUAAUUCCUUCGGACUGGGGAAAAUCUUCGCGCGUGAACGCGGGCCAUCGACCCACACUCAAAUCGAGCGGGUUCGAAGUCCAUCGCCACAACGAGCCGGUGCGUAAAAUAUCCGACACGCAAACGAUGACCUUCCUUAGACGUAAUCCCAAAGCUUCUAGGAUUAUAACCCAGACUAUACAUCCCUCCUAAAUUCUGUAAGCUUUGAGGAAAACGUCCAGAGAUUUACGUUUUUCAACACGGUACGACUUCGUAUGUAACGUGAAUGAUUUUAUCUAGGUAAAGCUUCUCCGUGACUAUGUGUAAUGUUAUAAGCAAUAUACAAAUGAAACAAUAUGACUUGAAUACCACGUCAGCGAGCACGAUCAGGAUGCGUUUAAACAUAUAGCUGACCGGAUAUAGUUGUUUUGGAGGGGUGGGGUGGGGGAGGGAAUAGUGAAGUAAACAAUUCAGCAUUCUCCUGGGAUGAAAAAGAAGGAAAAACAACUAAAUUAAAACUUGAGAGGAAAUAAAAGUGGCCUGGACUCCACCGAUGAUGUCAUCCUUCUGGAUGGAUGGUGCGUGAAAUGCUACCCGGGCAUGAUGUUUAGCAGAUCUGAAGGAAGCGAGCGUAAGACAGGCUUCGGCAUGCUGCUGACCCACUUCUCAUCUGCACAGUAAUAAUACACACUGAAACCAAACCAAACCGAGUGAUUAAAAUCAGACCACAGGUCGUUCCGUCCCGAAACUCACCUGUCGGCGCUUUCCCUGUAGUCUCACACUCACGCAUGUCGAACUCUUCGUCUUACCAGGCAGCAGGACGACUUCUAGAGACACAAUAGUUUGUUAAAAAAAAAAAAAAAACAGACACACGUACACACCAAUGCUCUUCCAAACAGGGCUGGUCAGUUCCGGAUUGUGAUUGGCCAGAAGGUUCUGAUUCGUUUUCUAUAACCACAGCUCUGACAGUAGCUCAGGUUUAUGUUAAUGCGCUCGUUCUAACGUGUUAUCGUGUUUUUCCAUACCAACACCUCGUUCACGGGGACUUGCACUAGGGUAUAAUUGUUGAAAUGUCGAAGCUCUGACACGGGGAAGUGUACAGGACAAAGGAAGACUUUACGCGGCUGGAGACGGUACGCGAGAGCAGGCACUAACGUCUCGCAGAUGUUCUACUACAAUGUGGUUGCGUUUAACAGAUUAAAUGUAAAAAAAAAAAAAUAAAAAAUAGGCUGUACCAAUUUUCAAACGACCACAUUAGGAGAACAUGGAGUAAACGGAGGUUUACCAUCAAACUGGAAGUCAUGUGGAUGAUAAUACAGGUGGACUUUAAACCUAAAAUUGGAAACACAGACCAUCACGGCUAUUCCGUAGCUCAACCGUGUCGUGUUCAAGCAUGAAGAUAAUUUACAGAAGCGAUUUCGGCUUGAGCUAGACCGUGCGAAAGCGAUAAAACCCAAUGAACGUGUCCUGGCUGCUGUACUACCUGCAGGGUGGAGGAAACCUUGUGUGAGUGAAUAUGAUUUUUCUCUUUAAGGAGCUUACAUUCCUUCAGUCUCAUCAGGGCUGUGGGUUCGAACUCCAUCACCGUCUGGAAGAAUUUGAGGGAUGUAUUAAAAGGUUUUGUGCUGAUGAUCACAAGGUUGUGGGUUUAAAUCCCAGACCCUUAAACCUUGUCACGUGACCAGAGGCUUUAUUUAGCAAAACAAUUCCUCCGUUGCGUUCUUUGCGGAUUAGUAAAGUAUUUACUGAAAUGAGAAAUCAGAAGUGACGUAGUCUGUACUGCAGGAAUGUGUCGGUAUUUGAGACAAAAUAAUCAUAAGGUUUAAUUACCGUGUAAAAUAAUGAGCGGGUUAUUACAGGGUGUAAUUAACCCACAGUGUUUAUACGCGUCCAGCUGGUAAACAAAGAGCAUGCAGUAUGUGUGGAAAUAAAACGGAUAAAAGCAUCAUACCGCGUCUCUUCUUGACUAGUUUUUCAGUGUGAUGAUAAAGGACAUGGGUUAAACUCCAUCUCCGCGCGGUUUGUGGCCAGGUUUGUCCGCUUUAUCCAGGCCCGUUGUCCAUCGCCGACAGAGACAAGCUACGCCAUUUCAGCUCCUGAUAGUUACUAAAUUCCACUUCCGGGAUGACCUUCAUCGUAACGUCAUGACGCUGCCGCUCGCUGAUUGGACAAGCGUUCCAUCAGUCGGUCGUUAAGACCUGCCCCUUCGGAUCCAGGCUAGACGAAGCCACGCCCGCAUUCCGUUAUAUCCAUAAGGUGAACGUCGUACAGAGGCGAGUCUUAUAAAGUGGUGCAGGG